GCCUGGCUGGCUCAGUUGGUAGAGCAUGUGACUCCCGAUCUUAGGGUUAUGAGCUGGAACUCAUGUUGGGUG
rnacentral:tRNA from 1 species